rnacentral:rRNA from 1 species
GACGAACGCUGGCGGCGUGCUUAACACAUGCAAGUCGAACGGAAAGGCCCUGCUUUUGUGGGGUGCUCGAGUGGCGAACGGGUGAGUAACACGUGAGUAACCUGCCCUUGACUUUGGGAUAACUUCAGGAAACUGGGGCUAAUACCGGAUAGGAGCUCCUGCUGCAUGGUGGGGGUUGGAAAGUUUCGGCGGUUGGGGAUGGGCUCGCGGCUUAUCAGCUUGUUGGUGGGGUAGUGGCUUACCAAGGCUUUGACGGGUAGCCGGCCUGAGAGGGUGACCGGCCACAAUGGGACUGAGAUACGGCCCAGACUCCUACGGGAGGCAGCAGUGGGGAAUAUUGCACAAUGGGCGGAAGCCUGAUGCAGCAACGCCGCGUGCGGGAUGACGGCCUUCGGGUUGUAAACCGCUUUCGCCGGUGACGAAGCGUGAGUGACGGUAAUGGGUAAAGAAGCACCGGCUAACUACGUG